rnacentral:rRNA from 1 species
GAUGAACGCUGGCGGCGUGCCUAAUACAUGCAAGUCGAGCGAACAGACGAGGAGCUUGCUCCUCUGACGUUAGCGGCGGACGGGUGAGUAACACGUGGAUAACCUACCUAUAAGACUGGGAUAACUUCGGGAAACCGGAGCUAAUACCGGAUAAUAUAUUGAACCGCAUGGUUCAAUAGUGGAAGACGGUUUUGCUGUCACUUAUAGAUGGAUCCGCGCCGCAUUAGCUAGUUGGUAAGGUAACGGCUUACCAAGGCAAUGAUGCGUAGCCGACCUGAGAGGGUGAUCGGCCACACUGGAACUGAGACACGGUCCAGACUCCUACGGGAGGCAGCAGUAGGGAAUCUUCCGCAAUGGGCGAAAGCCUGACGGAGCAACGCCGCGUGAGUGAUGAAGGUCUUCGGAUCGUAAAACUCUGUUAUUAGGGAAGAACAAAUGUGUAAGUAACUAUGCACGUCUUGACGGUACCUAAUCAGAAAGCCACGGCUAACUACGUG